CUAUGUUCACACAUGUCCCGAGCUCAAUGCCGCUUGAUGACAUUAGCUCUCUAGUUCACAUACAUUCUAGUUCAAUACCUCUAUAUGGCAAUUUGUCAUCUUUCAUGUCUCAAAUAAACUUAAGUUUAAAUGCAUGAAUCAAAGCUCAUUUACACUAUAGAAGCAUGAAACCAAGUCUCAAAUUGAACGCUAAAUGCAACCAUAGGCCUACCAAGUUACACUCUACUCCAUAGAGGUCCAAAAUUUC
rnacentral:lncRNA from 1 species